rnacentral:misc_RNA from 1 species
UUAAGUUCAGCGGGUAUCCCUACCUGAUCCGAAGUCAAACCUAUGUGGGGGGUUGCUGGCAGGCAUCCGUCGGGGUCCCAUAGCGAGGAUAUGUACUACGCUUAGGGCCCGGCGGCACCGCCACUGCUUUUGGGGCGCGCCCGGGGGCGGCGCCCAAGACCAGCCAGGCUGGAUUGGUACUUAUGACGUUCGAACAGGCA